AACGUAGGGGGCAAGCGUUGUCCGGAUUUAUUGGGCGUAAAGAGCUCGUAGGCGGCUCGGUAAGUCGGGUGUGAAACCUCCAGGCUCAACCUGGAGACGCCACCUGAUACUGCUGUGGCUAGAGUCCGGUAGGGGAGUGUGGAACUCCUGGUGUAGCGGUGAAAUGCGCAGAUAUCAGGAGGAACACCAGUGGCGAAGGCGGUGCUCUGGGCCGGAACUGACGCUGAUGAGCGAAAGCGUGGGGAGCAAACAGG
rnacentral:rRNA from 1 species